UCUCCGUAGGUGAACCUGCGGAAGGAUCAUUAACGAGUAUGGGUCACUCUGGCCCGACCCCCACCCCCUUGCUUAAUUACUAUGUUGCUUUUGCGGGCCCCUCCCACGACCCCCACAAGUUCUCGUACUUCUCGUCCGUGUCCGCCAAUCGCCUUUUACAAACUCCUUAUCACUUGUGAUGCCUUAGCACUAACUUUAAUAGAUAAAAUUUUCAACAACGGAUCCCCUCGUUCUGGCAUCGAUGACAAACGCAGCAGACCGGAAGCGCCCACGUCUGAA
rnacentral:misc_RNA from 1 species